GGUGCUAUAGUGUAGUGGUUAUCACUCGGGAUUUUGAAGUGGCUUUUCCAUUGAAUUCUUCCCGAAACCCAGGUUCGAACCCUGGUAGCACCU